UACAGGGGGUGCAAGCGUUGCUCGGAAUCACUGGGCGUAAAGCGUACGCAGGCGGACCGUUAAGUCGGGUGUGAAAGCCCCGGGCUCAACCUGGGAAUUGCAUUCGAGACUGAAUAGCUAGGGUACGGUAGAGGGAAGUGGAAUUUCCGGUGUAGCGGUGAAAUGCGUAGAUAUCGGAAGGAACAUCAGUGGCGAAAGCGACUUCCUGGACCAGUACCGACGUUCAGGCACGAAAGCGUGGGGAGCAAACAGG
rnacentral:rRNA from 1 species